CGCACGGGUGAGUAACACGUAGGUAAUGUACCUUUGGGUGGGGAAUAACUUAGGGAAACUUAAGCUAAUACCGCAUAAUGCAGCGGCUCCUUCGGAAGACAGUUGUUAAAGAUUUAUCGCCUAAAGAGCAGCCUGCGGCAGAUUAGCUAGUUGGUAAGGUAACGGCUUACCAAGGCUACGAUCUGUAUCCGACCUGAGAGGGUGGUCGGACACACUGACACUGAAUAACGGGUCAG
rnacentral:rRNA from 1 species